rnacentral:rRNA from 1 species
AACGAACGCUGGCGGCAUGCCUAACACAUGCAAGUCGAACGAGACCUUCGGGUCUAGUGGCGCACGGGUUCGUAACGCGUGGGAACCUGCCCUUAUGUUCGGAAUAACUCUCCGAAAGGGGUGCUAAUACCGGAUAAUGUCUUCGGACCAAAGAUUUAUCGCCUUUGGAUGGGCCCGCGUUGGAUUAGCUAGUUGGUAGGGUAAAAGCCUACCAAGGCGACGAUCCAUAGCUGGUCUGAGAGGAUGAUCAGCCACACUGGGACUGAGACACGGCCCAGACUCCUACGGGAGGCAGCAGUGGGGAAUAUUGGAAAAUGGGCGAAAGCCUGAUCCAGCAAUGCCGCGUGAGUGAUGAAGGCCUUAGGGUUGUAAAGCUCUUUUACCCGGGAUGAUAAUGACAGUACCGGGAGAAUAAGCUCCGGCUAACUCCGUG